UGGAACUAGCGCUGCCCCUCCCUCUC
rnacentral:piRNA from 1 species